rnacentral:rRNA from 1 species
CAGCCGCCGCGGUAAUACGUAGGGGGCGAGCGUUGUCCGGAAUUAUUGGGCGUAAAGCGCGCGCAGGCGGUCCCUUAAGUCUGAUGUGAAAGCCCACGGCUCAACCGUGGAGGGUCAUUGGAAACUGGGGGACUUGAGUGCAGAAGAGGAGAGCGGAAUUCCACGUGUAGCGGUGAAAUGCGUAGAGAUGUGGAGGAACACCAGUGGCGAAGGCGGCUCUCUGGUCUGUAACUGACGCUGAGGCGCGAAAGCGUGGGCAGCAAACAGGAUUAGAUACCCUGGUAGUCCACGCCGUAAACGAUGAGUGCUAAGUGUUAGAGGGGUUAAACCCUUUAGUGCUGUAGCUAACGCGUUAAGCACUCCGCCUGGGGAGUACGGCCGCAAGGCUGAAACUUAAAGGAAUUGGCGGG